GUUGGGGUAGUUUAAUUAGAACAGUAGCCUGUCUAGCUAAAGGUGCCGUUGGAUUUAGGCUCUCGAUA
rnacentral:tRNA from 2 species